UGGCUUAGAACAAACUGCAUAGCUGA
rnacentral:piRNA from 1 species